rnacentral:rRNA from 1 species
AGUGAACGCUGGCGGCAGGCCUAAUACAUGCAAGUCGAACGAACACACAGUGAGCUUUCGCCCUUAAGGGUGGCGAGUGACGGAUGGGUGAGGCAUACAUAACCUUCUUAUUAUACGUGGGUGACAUCGUGAAGCCAGUUCUGAUACUACAUAACAUGUCCAACGGCUGGGUGCAACAGUUAAUCACACUCUGGCUGUCUCUUUGAGACGAUGCCGCAUUAGCUAGUUGGCAGGGUAAAGGCCCACCAAGGCAACGAUCCGUAGCUGAUCUGAGAGGAUGAUCAGCCACACUGGAACUGAGACACGGUCCAGACUCCUACGGGAGGCAGCAGUAGGGAAUCUUCGGCAAUGGGCGCAAGCCUGACGGAGCAAUGCCGCGUGAGUGAAGAAGGCCUUCGGAUUGUAAAGCCCUGUUAUUAGGGAAGAAAAACUGCAUAAGAAUAUCCGGCUGUCUUGACGGUACCUAAUCAGUAAGCACCGGCUAACUUCGUG